GGGAAGGAUUAUCAAAAACAUCUGCAACUUUAGAUUAUUUUAAUGGAGUUUUGGAGGCGGGAACCGACCAAUUCCAUAUAGGCAUUGGCUUUUUUGAGAAGGUGGAGUCUGCAUAUGACAGUUCUGGAAAAAGGAAAUUCAAGGAGCUUAAACGCAACAUAAUGUGGGAUAUCUAAAGAUGAGCACGAAUGAAAGGCAGUUUUUUCGGUUGCUUCUUUAAGUGAAAACCAAUAAUGCUUCCAGUAACACAUUGUUGGAGAAAACCUUAAAGUUGGGUUGAAGGGUAGGUAGUGAUAUUAGACCCUGCCUGCUGGUCGGCUCCGACAUGAGCACAAGGCAUGCAGCGAACCAUAAUUUGGAUAGGAAAGCAUUACCUUUUAUUAUUAUUAAGUUUUUAAAGCAAAGCCCGACUGUUUGGGGCGGUGAUCCACUAGCUUGAGCUGAGAGAGCUACGUCCACAAAAAAUCCCACUUACUCUCCCAAAGUGAAAGUACCUUUUAUGGCUCCAUCCUGGCGUUGUAGUUCAUAUGCGCCGUUAUUUGUUAUUGAGCCACCGCCGUAGUUGUGUGUAUAUAUAAAUAAUAUAGAUUAAGAACAACAAUUGGUUAAUUUGUCUGCUUUCAGGAUAAGAUGAUUGAUAGGCGGCUAAUGAUGAAUGUAAAGAAAUGGUUUUAAAAAGGGCCCCAUUCUUACGUCCUUAGCUUUCAAAAUAAAAAUAUAUAUGUUGAUGCUGUCAUGCACAUGGCCGGGCUCGGUGCGAUCGCAUGGGACAAGGAUGGUAUGGUGAUGGGCGACCAAUUGCUUCAACUCGCUUUGGGCCGAGGCUCCUGCUGCUUUCCUUGAUUUAAACUUUGCUCCUGGCAUGGGUUUUGGAGGUAUUAUGCUGUAAUCUCUAAAUUUAUUUUUGUUGGGUUAAUUUGUUUUGGAAGCCUGACUUUAUUUCAGUAUUUUCAUCAUGUCCAGUUUGUUUUUACUCCCAGAUCAACAAAUAGGUUUGCGUCUUACUAUUCCCCCUGGGCUUAAUGAAUGUAUUUGCCGGUUUUUUAAAUUGGAUCGGUGAUCAAGCUUAUUAAGCUACCAGUUUAUUAAUCUAGC